GGGCUACCAUUGUGAGAUAUUUUCUGAUUGUAGGUGACGUUCCCUUAGUGUAUAUUUUGUAUGCUUUAUUUACUACUUUGUGGUCGGCCUAUGAUACCUACUGAGUACAAGUGGAUUGUACUCAUGCCUAUUGUGUCCUUUCUGUGUAGGUCCUAGCUCAAGUACGCCUCAGCUUACUUGAUUCUGGAGAUUAUUAAAGCUUUUAAGGUAGCGGUUGGACAUUCAUGCGUCCAAAGUUUACCUCUAUCUUUCUAUACUAGUUAUGUCUUUAUUAAUAUUCAGAGGCAACUAUUAUUUCUUUGUGGUCAUUUUUUUGAUGUAUUUGACUCUUGGAUUGUAUUAGUAGUUCUUACACUAUUGACACCUGGUUUUGGGCAU
rnacentral:lncRNA from 1 species